UGCAAGUCGAGCGAGAAGCAGGAGCAAUCUUGUGAGUAAAGCGGCGUACGGGUGAGUAACACGUGGAUUAUCUACCUCUUUGUGGGGAAUAACCCUGGGAAACCGGGGCUAAUACCGCAUAAGUCCGAGAGGAGAAAGCAGCAAUGCGCAGAGAGAGGAGUCCGCGGCCGAUUAGUUAGUUGGCAGGGUAAAAGCCUACCAAGACAAAGAUCGGUAGCCGGCCUGAGAGGGCACACGGCCACACUGGCACUGAAACACGGGCCAGACUCCUACGGGAGGCAGCAGUGGGGAAUCUUGCACAAUGGGGGCAACCCUGAUGCAGCGACGCCGCGUGAGCGAUGAAGCCCUUCGGGGUGUAAAGCUCUUUCGGCAGGGAAGAUUAUGACGGUACCUGCAGAAGCAGCUGCGGCUAACUACGUGCCAGCAGCCGCGGUAAUACGUAGGCAGCAAGCGUUGUUCGGAGUUACUGGGCGUAAAGGGUGUGUAGGCGGUUUUCUAAGUCUGGUGUGAAAUCUCCCGGCUCAACUGGGAGGGUGCGCCGAAAACUGGAAGGCUAGAGUACUGGAUGGGUAAGUGGAAUUCCUGGUGUAGCGGUGAAAUGCGUAGAUAUCAGGAGGAACACCUGUGGUGUAGACGGCUUACUGGACAGUAACUGACGCUGAGACACGAAAGCGUGGGUAGCAAACAGGAUUAGAUACCCUGGUAGUCCACGCCCUAAACGAUGCAUAUUUGGUGUGGGCCAUUCAUUUGGUCUGUGCCGGAGCUAACGCGUUAAAUAUGCCGCCUGGGGAGUACGGUCGCAAGGCUG
rnacentral:rRNA from 1 species